AACGGCCGUACCAUGCUGAAGAUACCGGUUCUCGUUAGAUCACCGAAGUUAAGCAUCAUUGGGCGCGGUCAGUACUUGGGUGGGGGACCACCUGGGAACACUGCGUGCCGUU
rnacentral:rRNA from 1 species